rnacentral:rRNA from 1 species
UACGAAGGGGGCUAGCGUUGUUCGGAAUUACUGGGCGUAAAGCGCACGUAGGCGGAAUGUUAAGUCAGGGGUGAAAUCCCGGGGCUCAACCCCGGAACUGCCUUUGAUACUGGCAUUCUCGAGUCCGGAAGAGGUGAGUGGAAUUCCGAGUGUAGAGGUGAAAUUCGUAGAUAUUCGGAGGAACACCAGUGGCGAAGGCGGCUCACUGGUCCGGUACUGACGCUGAGGUGCGAAAGCGUGGGGAGCGAACAGG